GACGAACGCUUGCGGCGUGCCUAAGAAAUGCAAGUCGAGCGGGACUGAAAGCUGAAUACUGAAAGCUGAAAGCUGAACAACGGCGACGUUGGUCUUUAUUUCAGCCUUCAGCUUUUAGCAUUCAGUUUUCAGUCUAGCGGCGAACGGUCGCGUAACACGUAAGCAACCUGCCUCAAAGACCGGGACAACAUCUCGAAAGGGGUGCUAAUACCGGAUGUGGCCACCUGAUGGCAUCUUCGGGUGAUUAAACCGAGCAAUCGGCUUUGAGAGGGGCGUUGCGGCCUAUCAGCUAGUUGGUGGGGUAACGGCCUACCAAGGCGACGACGGGUAGCUGGUCUGAGAGGACGAUCAGCCGGACUGGACUGAGAUACGGCCCAGACUCCUACGGGGGCAGCAAUAGGAAUCUUGCACAAUGGGGGAAACCCUGAUGCAGCGACGCCGCGUGAGGG
rnacentral:rRNA from 1 species